AUUGAACGCUGGCGGCAUGCCUUACACAUGCAAGUCGAACGGCAGCACGGGAGCAAUCCUGGUGGCGAGUGGCGAACGGGUGAGUAAUAUAUCGGAACGUGCCCAGUCGCGGGGGAUAACGCAGCGAAAGCUGUGCUAAUACCGCAUACGAUCUAAGGAUGAAAGCGGGGGAUCGCAAGACCUCGCGCGAUUGGAGCGGCCGAUAUCAGAUUAGCUAGUUGGUGGGGUAAAGGCCCACCAAGGCGACGAUCUGUAUCUGGUCUGAGAGGACGACGAGCCACACUGGAACUGGGACACGGUCCAGACUCCUACGGGAGGCAGCAGUGGGGAAUUUUGGACAAUGGGCGCAAGCCUGAUCCAGCAAUGCCGCGUGCAGGAUGAAGGCCUUCGGGUUGUAAACUGCUUUUGUACGGAACGAAACGGCCCUUUCUAAUACAGGGGGCUAAUGACGGUACCGUAAGAAUAAGCACCGGCUAACUACGUGCCAGCCGCCGCGGUAA
rnacentral:rRNA from 1 species